CGUGGCGCGUAGUUGCUACAUACUGCAUUCGUGAUACAAGACCGCCACGCAGUAUCAUAUCUAUCACCACGUGUCGGAAGUAGGCCGGACACAUCGGCUCUACGCGGUGCGGCACAGAGACCUAUGCGUCGUCCUUGACUGCAGAAAGAAUCCAUCCACGUCGCCUGGUUUGCCUCGCCUUGCGAGCGUCGCCCCUGCUCUGCAUCAUCGCCUCAGUCCUCGAGCCAACGCUAGCCUCACGGCCGUCCUCCUCCGCCAUUUACUGAACACCACGGCGAGGUCCUCCUCCUCCGCCGUGUACUGAGCUCGACCACGGCGAGCUCCUGAUACCGCGUCCGUGUCUCCGUCGAGCACACCCUGCUUCCUCUUCUUCCACAGCACCUGACAUGAGAGAGAAAGGGGCCUCUCGAUGCAAAGGGCAGGGCCCAAAGUGCGAAGCGCGGUGUGCCGGGAUCGAUCCAUCGAGGACUCUCGAGCUCCACUGCAGCAGCACCGCUUCCGUGUCCUUCAGCCUCCGCCUACAGCAAGCUCCACAAGCACUUGCUUUUGCAUCAACCACGUAUGCCCUGCUUAUGGUUGUAUUUGCAACCAUCACUACAGACGGUGUCAAGUCGCUUCCUCCCUCCUGUUCAGCUCUCGAUCUCCACGGCGUUUAAUUUGCAUCCCGCCAUCAAAGUAAGGAGAGAACAGAUACCUUCCAAAGGUUAGUGGGGAGCUCACGAACUCUUUCCUUUUGUCCUCGGAUAUCCAUGGUGCUCAACACUGGAAAUGGACACAUAUUUGGUGCACAAUCCAUCCAUACGAUUCAGAAGGCACAAACUCUAGGUCAGUUAAUUAUCAGCCAAUGUUGAUAAUAAUCCUUUUGGUAAUUAUACAUUGAUUGUUCAUCUUCGAUUGUUGUUAACUUUGCUUCAUUAGGUUUUUUACUCCUUUUUGCCAUUGUUUAAUUUUUGUUGUAUUAUAUGUGUUUAGACCAAAUCACUCAUGACAUUCCAUACUAAUUUUUGGUACCUGCAUAUUAUGGUUGUUCUUAAGCCCUCAGCAACUGUAUAUGUGUUCAAAAUUAUAUAUGCAUGCAGAAUGUGUAAGCCUGUAGAAGCAUAUUUUUCCCCCACCAUGCAGCUCACAGGUGGAAUGGGUUGCCAGAGCUUGUCAAAAGCCAAGGUGGGCCAUCACUGACUGGUAUGUCACAGGGUAGCACAACAAAUUCUUUAGUACCUUGGUGGUGUAAUAGUUUUUUUUGUCUAAAUUGGCUUUUCUACAUGAUAGCUCCCUGCAGAAAUCUACAUGAUAACUCCCUGCAGAAAUGCGACAUGACAUGAUCAAUUGUCUAUUCACAAUAAACAAUGCCAAGCAAACAAAUACCAAGGACUGCAACCUUCAGUUAUAGUUGUUGAUGAUAUUCCCAAGAGCCCAUCAUCACAAUACGGUUUAAAGGCCCAAGAGGAUAUUGAUCAAAGAGGGAUUAAGGUUACUAAUGGGCCUAUGAGAUAGAAGCCCAUUAGUACGCCCUAUAUAUA